UACUUCUAUAUUGCAAUUAUGUUUCUGACGGCAUCGCCACAGUGGCAUCGGAUUCGUGUUCCUGAGACGGUUUUUUAUCACUGUAGUACAAAACGGAGAUAAUCUCGAGUCAUUUUCUUUGCUUAAAUUAGCUUUGAAAAGCAGCAAGUAACACAAAGUUUCCUCCAAGCUCUGCAGCUGGGUUAGGAGCUGCUUCCCGGUAACACGGUUUCAUCUCUUAAAAAUAACAAAAGCUUUGAACAUUGUGCCCUAUACGGCUUUGCACAGAGCUUAUAAAAAGUGAAGAAAUGAUGUGUCUUUCACCAGAAAUAGUUAAAUGAAUACCAGAUCAGUUUAAUUAGCCAGCAGUGUCAUCUUACAAGAACAUACAGAUGUUCUUCCUCUGCUUUCUUCAGCUUUCUUCAUCUUUGUACUAACAUUUCAAUUAAUCAUAUUAACAUUUCUUUCUCCCAAAAGAAUUCUUUUGAGUAACCCAAGUAGGCAAAUACAUUCAUCCCUGUGUUUAUAUUUUAAGAUGAAGUGUUUACUUUGUGAUUAUUUUUAUAGUUAAAGGCAUAUUGUCAGUCAAAUACGGCAGCUGAACAAAAAAUAACCAAGACAUGUAGAAACAAGAUCCAGAUGGGAUCCAUCCACACAGGAUCUGAUGAGAGGCUGUGAGAUCCUGACGAAAACAGAAAAUAGAGCCAACUUUGCCUUCCAGUUCUUAAAUGCUGUUGCAGAAGAGACCAUGAGCACAAGGAUGGUGAGAGGACAGGAUGCAGUGUAAUACAGCACACAAACUCUUGUGAAGUUUGUGGCAGUAGUGAAGACAGUCUAAGGAUUUUGCCAGCAGCACUGAUUUACCAUGACUUGGGUACAAUUAAAGUGUGAGAAACCUCCAGGAGAUGUGGUUGUGUCCUGGAGUGGCUUUUGUCUGCAUAAGGCAAGAAACAGAAUAGCAUCACAUGUGAAAGUGUAACAAGAGAAGGAGAUGAGGUUAUUUAGAGCUACCAUCUGUAUCGAUGCUGUAUUUCAUUCACACUUCUUAUGUGUGGUAUCCUAUUAGGUCAAUUCUGACUUCUCUGUGCUCCAGAUACAAAAAAAAUAAA